rnacentral:rRNA from 1 species
GACGAACGCUGGCGGCGUGCUUAACACAUGCAAGUCGAACGGAAAGGCCCUGCUUUUGUGGGGUGCUCGAGUGGCGAACGGGUGAGUAACACGUGAGUAACCUGCCCUUGACUUUGGGAUAACUUCAGGAAACUGGGGCUAAUACCGGAUAGGAGCUCCUGCUGCAUGGUGGGGGUUGGAAAGUUUCGGCGGUUGGGGAUGGACUCGCGGCUUAUCAGCUUGUUGGUGGGGUAGUGGCUUACCAAGGCUUUGACGGGUAGCCGGCCUGAGAGGGUGACCGGCCACAUUGGGACUCAGAUACGGCCCAGACUCCUACGGGAGGCAGCAGUGGGGAAUAUUGCACAAUGGGCGGAAGCCUGAUGCAGCAACGCCGCGUGCGGGAUGACGGCCUUCGGGUUGUAAACCGCUUUCGCCUGUGACGAAGCGUGAGUGACGGUAAUAGGUAAAGAAGCACCGGCUAACUACGUG